UACGGGGGGGGCAAGCGUUGUUCGGAAUUACUGGGCGUAAAGGGCUCGUAGGCGGCCAACUAAGUCAGACGUGAAAUCCCUCGGCUUAACCGGGGAACUGCGUCUGAUACUGGAUGGGUUGAGUUUGGGAGAGGGAUGCGGAAUUCCAGGUGUAGCGGUGAAAUGCGUAGAUAUCUGGAGGAACACCGGUGGCGAAGGCGGCAUCCUGGACCAACACUGACGCUGAGGAGCGAAAGCCAGGGGAGCAAACGGG
rnacentral:rRNA from 1 species